CUCCUGGUGCUUACCACAGGCUGUGUUCUGAUACUGACUGCAUAGAAAAAGAAG
ensembl:snoRNA